GCCGAGAUAGCUCAGUCGGCAGAGCGCAUCCAUGGUAAGGAUGAGGUCCCGGGUUCGAAUCCCGGUCUCGGCUCCA
rnacentral:tRNA from 1 species